CGCACAGACAUGAACUCUUGUGUUUUUGGGGAGCGUGAGGAAGAUAUGAACUCUGAAUGUGCAGCUGCACAUUCAGCAAACCGACCGCGGGAUCGUAACCUUCGUGUGUUCUGGGCAGACGCUCUUCAGCUCCGAUCAGCACGUUUCAUGUGUGCGAGAACAGAUUUGAUCAUUUCUCUGCUGAGCAAUGUUUUCCAGAAUAAACAGACUUUGGUCUGCGAACCUUUGUUUGGACUUCAAGCACAUUCAAACAACUGUGAGCAGCUUGAAAAGGUUUACUGAAGGGCAGGAGAGAGGACGUUAGCAGUGACCAAAGUAAGGUGAAGUGUGACUGAGAGCGUGCACACAGGUGUAGAGCAGAUCUUCUCUACAUGUCCCUGGGCGAGCCCUCAAGUCUUCAGCCCAGUUACUCCUGGCUCAGCCUGGAUCUGGACUUAAAUCUAGGGGUGACCGUGCUUUUGAAUCUGUGGAACAACCUUCCCAUCGCUAUCCGUGUGUCAGACUCCGUUUUAUCUUUUAAAUCCUGUUUAAAAACUCAUUUAUUCAACAUAACUUUUCCAUCGAGUUUUAUAUUUGGUUCAAUUUCUUAUUUAUGUACUUUAUCUUUUAGCUAUGUAACUUUGUUCUUAUAUUCCCUUUUAUUGUUGUAUAAUUAGUGCCCUGAACCUGAUGACAUAUGUGGUACUUUGUUAAUAGUCUUUUAUUUAUUGUCUUAAUUUUCCUGUUUUAUUGUAAAGUCUUUGGUGAACCGCUGCUCUUUUAAAUGUGCUGUACAAAUAAAGUUGUGUUGUUCA